rnacentral:lncRNA from 10 species
CGUUCAUAGUGGCUUCUGCUUCUAUACAGGCCACAUCAUGCUGAACAAGAGCCGAGAAGUAGAAUCGCCAGUGUCAAGCCGUCCACGUUGUGGGAUGCCCACUGUUCCCCCAGGAUCACUCAAGACCCUGUGACUUGUGGUCACUGAUGAGUGGACCAAGUGAAGUCCACAAGAUGGCUGCUGUGGCUCCAGGCAUCACGUCCACAUGCAAAUCCAUCCAGAGGCAGGAACUGGGAAUAGGCUUGGAGGUGGCCAGGACAGCAAGUGGGCUGUCUGUAUAAACCUCCCCUCCACUUGGGAAGGAAAAUCACCCCCCAAGUCGAUUUUCUGUCCAUCUUAUUGAUCAGAGAGCGUUAUAAAUUCACCCAUUAAAUAAUCUGGACAAGGGGAGCGUGCAUGUUGUCCUUGGUUUAGACUGGUUAUGAUUUAUGCCCUGAAAUUGGACAUAUUGCCAAGCAAGCGAAAUUGAGAUUCCAUCAGCCAGGAAGAAGGGGUAAGGAUGAUGAAUAUUGGGUAGGCACAUGAUAGGGGUUGUCACAAGUUUUAAGAUGCUUUCAAUUAGUAAAUAACUGUCAAGAUUACCUUUUGUUUUCACCUGCCCAGUCUCCAUUGUGCCUCCUUCAGAAACACACACUGGGUUUUCUUUGGGUGUGAAGGGGCCUCUGUGUCCAUCAUUCCAGUGUGAGCACAUGAUCUGAGCCCG